GGGUCAUUAGGUUGGUCGUGCCACCGGUACGUACUGGUCUCACUGAUUCCUCCUUCCUGAAGAACCGUAAUGCCAUUAAUUUGGUGUUGCGGGGAAACAGGACUGUUACUUUGAAAAAAUUAGAGUGUUUAAAGCAAGAUAACGCUUGAAUACAUUAGCAUGGAAUAAUGAAAUAGGACGAUCGAUCCUAUUUUGUUGGUUUCUAGGAUUGACGUA
rnacentral:rRNA from 1 species